GUCUGACAUCAAAAUUUACUUAUUACUUUAUAUACUACCAGAAGUCCAGUAAUGGACUGGACUUCUGAUACUACAUGUAUAUAUUAUAAUCAAUCAAAGUUGAAAUUUGUUUCUAAAUAAAAAAAAAGGAAAAUAUGAUAAUUUAAUUCAUCAUCAUCAAAGUAUUGGUGUUUGCCAGUGGCAAGUAUUUCAUACACGUGUAGCUUUAACCAUCGGUCUAUUUAUGUGCUCUUUAUAAUAAGAUCCGUGAAACAACGAC
rnacentral:lncRNA from 1 species